CCUACGGGGGGCAGCAGUGAGGAAUAUUGGUCAAUGGACGAGAGUCUGAACCAGCCAAGUAGCGUGAAGGAUGACUGCCCUAUGGGUUGUAAACUUCUUUUAUAAAGGAAUAAAACGAGGCACGUGUGCCUUUUUGCAUGUACUUUAUGAAUAAGGAUCGGCUAACUCCGUGCCAGCAGCCGCGGUAAUACGGAGGAUCCGAGCGUUAUCCGGAUUUAUUUGGUUUAAAGGGAGCGUAGAUGGGUUGUUAAGUCAGUUGUGAAAGUUUGCGGCUCAACCGUAAAAUUGCAAUUGAUACUGGCAGUCUUGAGUACAGGUGAGGUAAGCGGAAUUCGUGGUGUAGCGGUGAAAUGCUUAGAUAUCACGAAGAACCCCGAUUGCGAAGGCAGCUUACUAAACUGUGACUGACAUUGAUGCUCGAAAGUGUGGGUAUCAAACAGGAUUAGAUACCCCUGUAGUC
rnacentral:rRNA from 1 species